AAUGUCGUAUAAGCAAUUUAUUCAAGAGCUUGAAGAUGACAUACUGCCGACUGAAGCUGAUCGCAGGUAUCAGGAAUACAGAUCAGAGUACAUUUCUACUCAGAAACGUACUUUCUUUAAUGACACAAGGAUGACCAGUGGCUGAAAGACAAAUAUCAUCCAACAAAUUUAGUAUCAGUUAUUGAAAGGAGAUAUCAGUUUAGGGGUCUUGACAAAGAUACAUCUCACGGAUAAGGGUACUGACGUUGUUGAUGGAGUGGGAGUAUUCUGCAAGUACCCUUGAUAGCUGGUGCUCUCCAUGUUCAUGAAUUAUUCCAAGAUGCUAAGAAAAAGGUUCCCGAUAGUGGUCAUGGAAUUACAACAUCAAUGGAGUGAAGCAUAAUACUAAUCUGACGUGUGGGAUAAAUCUGGGAUCGAUGGUGACACUGAGA